rnacentral:tRNA from 1 species
GCCCGCUUGGCUUAGUGGUACAGCGUCUCACUCGUAUAAGCACUUAUGACAUGAGAAGAUCCUCGGUUCGAUUCCGAGAGUGGGCU